rnacentral:misc_RNA from 1 species
CAGAGUUCAUGCCCUCACGGGUAGACCUCCCACCCUUGAAUAUAUUACCUUCGUUGCUUUGGCGAGCCGCCUCGGCUACCGACCUCGGUUGGUAUGUGCUCGCCAGAGAACAUCAAACUCUGAAUUAAUUUGUCGUCUGAGUACUAUAUAAUAGUUA